rnacentral:rRNA from 1 species
AACGAACGCUGGCGGCAUGCCUAACACAUGCAAGUCGAACGAGACCUUCGGGUCUAGUGGCGCACGGGUGCGUAACGCGUGGGAACCUGCCCUUAGGUUCGGAAUAACUCCCCGAAAGGGGUGCUAAUACCGGAUAAUGUCUUCGGACCAAAGAUUUAUCGCCUUUGGAUGGGCCCGCGUUGGAUUAGCUAGUUGGUGGGGUAAAAGCCUACCAAGGCGACGAUCCAUAGCUGGUCUGAGAGGAUGAUCAGCCACACUGGGACUGAGACACGGCCAGACUCCUACGGGAGGCAGCAGUGGGGAAUAUUGGACAAUGGGCGAAAGCCUGAUCCAGCAAUGCCGCGUGAGUGAUGAAGGCCUUAGGGUUGUAAAGCUCUUUUACCCGGGAUGAUAAUGACAGUACCGGGAGAAUAAGCUCCGGCUAACUCCGUG